rnacentral:rRNA from 1 species
AGGGAAUAUUGCGCAAUGGACGAAAGUCUGACGCAGCGACACCGUGUGAAGGAUGAAGGUCUUCGGAUCGUAAACUUCUGUCAAUUGGAGACGAAGGCAGUAGGGUUAAUAGCCUCAAUGCUGACGGUACCCAAAAAGGAAGUCUCGGCUAACUCCGUGCCAGCAGCCGCGGUAAGACGGAGGAGGCAAGCGUUGUCCGGAAUUAUUGGGCGUAAAGAGCGCGUAGGCGGUUUUCCAAGUCAUAUGUGAAAACUUUAGGCUUAACCUAAAGAUUGCAUGUGAAACUGGAUAACUAGAGUACGGCAGAGGAAAGUGGAAUUCCUGGUGUAGCGGUGAAAUGCGCAGAUAUCAGGAAGAACACCAGUGGCGAAGGCGGCUUUCUAGGCCGUUACUGACGCUGAGGCGCGAAAGCUAGGGGAGCGAAC